rnacentral:lncRNA from 1 species
UCGCGCGCCCGGCUUAAGGAGGUCUGCGCCCUUAAGGUUCCCAAGAUGGAGGAGCUGUGGGCAAAGAAGCAGCCUUUCUGUUCAUGCCCAGAGCCUAAGCCCUGCCCUGAACCCACACUGGAAGUCUGUUGGGGCUUGUGUGGGCCCUGGAGUGGAUAGUCUGGCUGUGGACUGUGGAUGCAUUUAUCAGGGGAUGGUGCAAGCCAUCAUCGGUAUGUAUAGCCCAGCCUGUGCACUUAGCCCUCACAUAAGCCUACAUAUGUUAUUUGGACAUGUCCAAGCCAUUUGCAUUGUCCCACGAGGACAGGGAGAAGUGAAUCUUCUUCCCUGUACAGGAGUACAAAAAUAGGCCAAAAAUUAGCCAGCUCAAGUCCCAACUCAAAGCAUCCCAGCAAGGGUGGGCGUGGGGACCUCAUUGUAGAAAAUGUCAAGAGUAAAGUAAAUGAUGCUAAAACAUCAGGUGGGAGGGGCCAGACCGAGGAGUGUCUCAGGCAGGAAUGCCAAGCCUCAAUUGGGUAAGUAGGCUUCAAAGGUCCCUGGGGCACCUGGCGUGGUACUCUCCUUGGGAGCGGAACCACAGAAAGAUGGACGCCCCUGUGUUGGUCAGAGUUUUGCAGCAGUACUGGAGGAUGUCGCCUGCCGAAGGCCCAUGAGGCCUUGGGUUCUGUGUGCCGUGUGCGAUGAUGUUCAGGUCUUCGCAGGUUAUAGCAAGAAUUCAAUAGAUGUGUUUGGUGACCACAUGAGACAAAUGCUUUUUUGAGAGAACACGCCCUUACUCCUUGCUUGGGGCGGGGGGGGGGAGACUCUAUUUGUAUAUACAGUCAAAGUAUUUUGACCACAUCUACUCCCCCUGGACCUCUAACCUACAACUUCAUCCCCCGCCCCUUUCCUAAGCCACUGAGUCUGAUUGGUGCUGCUCAUACAGAGUGUGGGGCGGAGCUCCAUGGGCAGGCAACCAGAGGCUGCACUCACAAAGAGCAUUUACUGUUGCUUCCCUGCCAGCCAGCUAUCAAUAGCUUCUCAUCUAGGGCUGGAGGAUUUUAGGAGCCUGUCCCUCUAUCUAUUCUGAAAACUUGAUUGGCUCCAUCUAGGGCGGUGACCACAACCACUCUUAGUUGCUCUUAGUUCUUGUGAGUGUAGUGGCCAUGGCUUGCCCAGAAAACAGCUCUGCUCUCUGCCCUCCGCUCUUCAUUCCUUUUCUGGCCACUGCUCUUCUGAGAUGUCCUCUGAACCUUGAUGGUGCUUAUGGAGGAGAGAGGUGUUAGUAUAGAUGUCCGAUUCAGGGCCAAACAUUCAGAUAUGCUCACUGUCAGCAUUUUGACUACUUAGGUCCCCUUGCAAAAAGAAGCAUCUCCAACCAAAGGGGAGAGCAGCACAAAUCCAUGACUAUACAUAUAAAUAUUUAAAAGGCAGUUUGGCAACAUGGUCAUUUAGCAAAACAAUAAUAGCAGGUUCCUCCCCAGAUGCCUUCAUUUACUUUUUUUUUUUUUCUUUUUAAAAUCACUGUGUGUCUCCAUCGACCCCUGGCCACACAGAUCUCCCUUUUCUCCAGAGCGAGAUCCAUAGAAUGAUGGGGAAGGAGAGAGAAGCUGAGAGAAAGGUCAUGUAGGACUGAACAAGAUCCCAUCUGGGCACUUUGGCCUCUGUGGGGAAGAGAGAAAGGAAGCCAGAGGCAGUGAUGCUGGGUAGAGGUAAACUGGAACAGUCUUCACAGAACAAAGGGGUCAGAACUUGGAAGUCUUAGAAAAUCAGGAAGAAGGCCGGGCGUGGUGGCGCACGCCUUUAAUCCCAGCACUUGGGAGGCAGAGGCAGGCAAAUUUCUGAGUUCGAGGCCAGCGUGGUCUACAGAGUGAGUUCCAGGACAGCCAGGACUAUAUAGAGAAAUCCUGUCUCGAAAAACCAAAAAGAAGAAGAAGAAGAAGAAGAAGA